UUGCAUUAUGGGCCCGAGAAGUACGGAAAUAGUGUCCACUGUGUGUUUUCUGUUGUAAUUUAGCGAAUGUAGUAUGCCAACCGGGAACUUUUGACAUACUAACCCUAUCCAUUCUUUGAAAAAUAACCAUAAUACAUACUCAAAUUACGUUACAAAUAGUACGGGUAUUCGAACGCUUUCUAAAAAGAAGGAAAGCCAACAUAGUUGUAAAGUUAAUUGAAGCUGGAUCGACUGGAGUUGGUUAGCGAGAUAGGCAGUUAACCGUGGGCUAUUCUAAACUGAAAAACAACAAUACAGCAAACACGGAACUGUUCAUUUGUGUCUGAAGAAUCGUUUAGAUGGUGUGUUGAUGGUUCAAGUUUUUUUCCCUAAAUAUUUUGGGCUUUUGUCUCGACUGACGAAUAUCGAUUGCCUUGAUUAGCUGCCAUUUGCUUAUUGGCUGUGGUUUUCAUCAACUUUUUUCACAGCAUCAACGAACGCCAAGUUAACACAAUUAGGCAGUUAAACUACAGCAUGUCAGGAUCUGAGUGGAUUUGUGGUGAUGGCAGAGCGUCGUGUGGAGUGUGCAUGGAAGAGACAGCUGAAGCAGAGGGACCGUGUGCAGCGGCAGGCCUUCGAGGAGAUCAUCCACCAAUGUUAGUGCCCAUACCAUGUCUCCGUGUUCAAGAUGCUGUUUAUUGACUGGUUUUUGUUUCUGCUGCCUGUGCAGUUUCCCAGAAAGUGUUUGAAGGACAUAUUUGUGGUGUUAUCAGAGAACCAUCUCCUGGAGAAGUCCAAUCUACAGGCUGUCCUUUCAGAGAGAUACCAGUCGGAUAAAUAUGACUUUCAGAACAGACAUGAUGGCAUGUAGGCCAGAAAUACCUUGCUUGUGAGAAAUUCUAAACGGAAUCCUUGGGACGACUGUCACCCUGUUGAAGUUGAAACUGUUAAGCCUGGGGAUGGACUCAGCGACACCUUACAGCAGGAGAUGGCCCAGAUGCGAGUCAGGCACCAGGAGGUGCUGACAGAGCUUCAUGAGAAACGGGGAGAGAAUAUCAGUCUGUCCCUGAUGUUUUUCCUGGAGAGAAGUGGCUUCUCUGCUGCCCUCCUU